AUGGAUUUCUCUUGCAGGAUACAAUUUCUCUUUUAUAGCUCUAGUUUCUCUUGUUUGCAGUCAGACAAAGGCUAUUUUGAUUCCACCAUCUUAGAUCUCCUCCCAGAGCAGCAAUCUCUUAAAAGAGUCCUGAAGAAACUGGGAUUUAUGAUCUUGCAAGUCACAGACUUGGUCUUGGAAUCCCUGAUGGAGAAGCUUCCAACUCUUCCACAGAGUCAUCACCCUGGAGAACGGAGCCCAGAGCAGCUGGCAGCUGACAAAGGAACUCACUCCAUGGCCAAAAAUGGAGAACCAGCCAGUUUUCGACAGAACACUGGUUGUACCAAUACUAUGAGCCUCUUCUCCAUGAACUACUUCUAGAGCAUAGAGGCUAGACAUUAAGUAAAGUCUUCUGAUCAGUAAGAAUCACUGUAGAAUAGUGAAACAAGCAAGGCCUUUACAUGACACUGUGGUUUGAAUCCUACCUUCUCCAUUAGCAAUUUAUUUUUUGACAUGAUAGGCCUUUCGACUUUAUGAAUAACACAUUCUGGGGUUGAAACUUAGAGGUUAUUCCAAGGAUUAUUGGGAGAAAUAACUAAGUUAAUGUGGAAAUAUCCAAAACUGAAUGGGAACUCCAGAAAUCCAGUCAUCUCCACAGACUCACUUCCUCUGAUAGGCCCUCAAGUAAUGAAAUUCAAGACAGAUAAUGACCUAUUUUGUAAGAGAGCAAAUUAAAUUAUGAAAGGAUUCACGACGUGUUGUUGAAGUAACUGAGAAUGUCUGAGCAGGAGAGAAGAAGAUGAGUUAAAAGUAGCCAUUACUACUACCCAUCCUGGAAGAAAGUUUUCCCCCAAAUGCAGGACUAAGCAUAAUACCAGUGUGUCGAAGGCACAGAGAAGAGAGAGCAAUUCAGCAUUCUCAACAGGCAGAAUUUCCCAAAGGUACUGUGAUCAGAAAGUUCCCCUCUUACAAAGGAUUAACACAAGGCCCUACAACCUAGAACUCUGGACACCUCACCCACACCACACCCUGUGUACAUGAGGCUGCCUGGAAUUACACAGGCAUCAGAAGAAGCCAUAUUAGGCAGCUCUGGUACACACCCGAGCUAGGGAGCGAUUUGUUGAAAAUAUUCUAGAAGAGAGAGACUGUGUAUUGGUCCCUUCCAGUGUUGUCUAAACUUCUUUGGUCUUCAAGAAAGUCCCAGGUAACAAGAAAAUUAAUUGGAAGUAAUACUGCCCCACGGUCCAUUUUGGGAAGGAGUACAGAGAUGGGUAAAAUUUCUCCACAGUACUGCCAGUUGUGGAUCCUUGAAUAGUAAACAUUUUCUUCUCUCUUUCUGAGCAGAGAACAGCUGAGACAUUGAAAAGCACUUGACGCUGACAUCGGACACUGAAAAGCAAAACCCCUCGAUUUGGGAGUCUCUAAUUCCAUUCUUCUCUUCAAGCCAAGCAGCUACACUGAGCUUGAUCCAUGAGAAAUCUCACCACUGUGGCUGAGCACAUGCUUCAGAGAGCACCUGAGCUGACAUCACUCCCCUGCCCUUUCUCAGAUUCUAUUUUCUUACUCGUCUAGGGACUGUGGGCCUGAUUGUUCUAAUCCAAAUGGAUGUCCAACACUAAACACAUUCUCUUCCCUUCUCUCUCUUUAACCCAACCCUCAAUUUCUCUGGGUUCCAUGGCCACUAACUAACCUCACAGAACUAAAGAGAAAUGGCGCAGUCAUAAGUGAGCAGUCACCUUCUCCCUCCUCCCAGUCCUCUGGGAGUCUCUGAAGUCUCUGUCCCCACUGACACUUUCACUCUGUAUGUAAAAUUAUACUUAAGAAUCUUAUUAAUGAG
rnacentral:lncRNA from 1 species